CCUCGAAACCCCUUGAUUCCUCUCCCUCAUCCCUAAGACCUCUGAGCUUAUUCUGGGCGUAUUCAUCAUUCUCUGUUUCUUCUACCAGUUCUCUUUGUCCCACCAAUGCCGCCCCACACACCCAGCGGUCCUCUGGAAUGACAUGUCUCUCUUCGGGUGCUCCCUCCCCCUCCAAAUAUUCAGGUUUGCGUGAGAGAGCGUCCGCCCUAAUGUUCUCUGGGCCUGGCACGUAACAAAUCUCAAAGUUAAAUUUGGAGAAUUCCUGGGCCCAUCUCACUUGCCGUUGGUUGAGCACUCGUGCCGUCCUCCAAUACUCUAGGUUCUUGUGGUCAGUGCACACUUGCACCUUAUGUUGUGCGCCAAUUAGCAGGUGCCUCCAUCUCCGGAACGCCUCAUGAAUGGCUAGUAGUUCUCGGUCAUACACCGUGUAGUUCCUCUCGGAUUUGUUCAGCUUUCGCGAAAAAAAGCACACGGUCUCCACUCUGACUCCUCCUUCCCUGGCUGGAGAAGCACCGCCCCAACCGCUCUGUCUGAUGCGUCAGUUUCCACUCUCAUCGGUUUUUGUAAAUCCACAUGCAGGAGCUGUUGUUCCGAGGCGAAGGCCCUUUUAGUUCCUCAAAUGCUUGCUCCGCCUCCUCCGUCCAAACGAACUUCUUCUUACUGCUGAGACAGUCCGUAAUGGGCGCCGUCAGGUGGGCAAAGUUUGGGAUGAACUUACGAUAGAAGUUCCCAAACCCUAAAAACCUCUGCACAUCCUUCCUUGUUUUGGGUGUUUUCCAUUCCAGUACCGCCUGGACCUUGCCGGGAUCCAUGGCCAACCCCUUGUCAGACAGGCGAUACCCCAGGAAUUCCACCUCCUUGGUAUGAAACUGACACUUCUCCAGUUUCACCCACAGCUGGUUGGCUUGCAGCCUGCUCAACACUUCUCUGACGUCUCUCACAUGCUGCUCCUCAUUCUCAGAAUACACCAACACGUCGUCUAAGAAGGCCACACAAUUCUUGUAAAGCAACGGCCCCAGGACGUGGUUCAUAAACGAUUGAAAUGUUGCGGAGCCUGCUUGUAGACCGAAGGGCAUAACUAAGUAUUCAAAUGCCCCUAAAGGGGUGAACAUGGUGGUUUUCCAUUCAUCCCCCUUCCUUAUUCGUAUCAGGUUGUACGCCCCCCUUAGAUCCAGCUUGGUGAAAAUCUUUCCCUUCCGCACCCUUGUCAAAAUGUCGUCAAUCCUGGGCAUCGGGAAGGCCACUGGUUCUGACACUGCAUUUAAGGCCCUGAAGUCACACACCAGUCUCGGCUUGUUCGUGUUUUUGUCCACAAAAACACUGGGCUGCCCCACCGCCCUGGACUCUCUGAUGAACCCUCUCUUCAGGUUCUUGUCAAUGAACUCUCUUAGCUCCUGCAUCUCUCUGUCUGACAUGGCGUACAGCUUGCCCACAGGGAGCUGUGCCCCAGGGAGCAAAUUGAUUUGACAGUCAAAGGCUCUAUGCGGUGGUAGUUGGUCAGCUUCCCUUUCGCUGAAGACGUCGCGGAGAUCUGCGUAUUGUCGUGGUACCUUCACGUUCUCCGUCACUUCAGUCCCUGCUAGGGUGGCUUGGGCCCCUGCCAAAACCUUUCCCUCUUUGCAAUGUUCUAAACAAUGUGCUGACCCAAAAGAAACCACUCUCUGAUGCCAGCCCACCAGCGGAUCAUGUAACGCUAGCCAGCUCAUCCCCAAUAUAAUGGGAGCUCCUCCCAAGGUGGCCACAUUAAAAGCUAUCAGUUCGGUGUGCCUUGCCACCUUCAUUAUCAUUGGGACGGUCUGCAAGCUGACUUCUCCUCCCAACAGCUCCCUGCCAUCGAUCGUGGUUACCUGCAGGGGGUUGCUUAAAGAGAGCGUCUGUAUCUGGUGUUCAGCUGCAAACUCUUUGCUCAUGAACUUGCAGGAGCUGCCUGAGUCCAACAGCGCCGAUAUCGGUAGAGGGUGUCCGUUUGGCAGCUCUAGUGUCACUUCUAUCACUAGGGCGGGUUUAGGAGGUUCUGGGGUGGGCACUUUCACUGCUCUUUGGCCUGGCUGCUGUGCCCCGACAAUGGCAGCCAGGCGUUGGCUUUUAGUUGCUCCGGUAUUUUUCCUCUCUUCCCUCCACAGCUCCCACCAUCCCUUGCCAUUCCUUCCUCUGGGGGCAGACUCUGGCAAAGUGCCCUGGCUGUUGGCAGAGAUAGCAUUUCCGGGCGCCUUUUCCAUCCUUCUUCCCCCCUCACUGGGCUUUGAAACUGCGCGCGCGCGUCUGUUCCGAUUUCCAUCGGCUCUGCCGGCGGGACAGUUGGCUCUGGAAUGUCUGGAAUGCGGAACUCCUUCCAACGUUCCCCUUUCCCUUCCCGCCUCUCCAAUGCUCUCGCCUCCUGGCGCGCUCCUAUGGCCAGCGCUGAUUUGGUCAGCUGGUCCAUAGACUCCGCCCUGGGCGCCCGGGAAAGUUCAUCUUUCACAGCCGAAGAAAGCCCUUCUUCAAAGAGCAUUUGAAUGGGUUCCGCCGAUAAGUCCCACCCCAAUCUGUGUAUCAGCAUGGUGAACUCAGUCCAGUACUCACGUACAGAUCGGCUCCCCUGUUUGCAAGCCAUUAACUGUCUGCGCACCACUCCCUUUUCAAUAUCGCUGGAAAACAUCAGAUCCAUGGCGCGAAAGAACUUCAUCGUGUCCUUUAGGACGUCACUAUGCGCUGCCAUCAGGGGUCUAACCCAGUCUCUCGCCCCCUUUUCAAGAUGCCCAAUCACAAAAGCCACUCGUGAUUCCUCAUCAGGGAAAUCAUCAAACUGCAGAUUGAGGGCAUAUUGCAUUUCUGUCCGAAAGCUAUGAUAGUCUUUGGGCUCCCCCCCAAAUUUCUGCACCAAUCCUGGUACCUUUCUGGCGAGCUGGGUGGCUUUCUCCCUUUGGUCUGCAUCUUGAGCCCUCCUCUCCUCCAGCCUCGCCGUCUGCAGCGCCAGCUGGACCUCCAACACCCGGUACCUUUCUUCCAGGCUUGGACCCGCUCCAGCCCCUGCUUCUCCGGUUCCUGCUGGGUUGCUCAUUAUGCCUUCUCCUGCACAAGCUGCGUUCAAAGACUGUCGGAAUGCUGUGAUGGGAUUAUGAGCUGCUUGUGCGUAAAAUCGUAUUCCCUCAGAGUUUGUUCAAGUCCACAAACCUCUGUCUGUGACUGAGCCCCUCUGACAUGGCUCCUCUAGUCACUAGAAGAUUCCGACAGUGGUUGCUUUCGUAAUCGCUUCCAACAUAAAAGCUCCUUAACGGAAACACGUCUUCUGGACUCUCUGCGUGACAGUUUCCGGCGAGGAGUGGGUGUCGCUACAGGAGGUCCGGAAGCCUCACCACUGUUUUCGCUGGAAGUAUCUCUGAGCCAUCCCCCAGCUCCCUUUCCCUCAGUUCAGCUUCUCUCCCCUGCUGGUUUCCUCUUCAGCUGCUGAGUCUCUCCCAACCUGUCUGAGCCCUUUCACCUCCCUCAGUUCAGCUUCUCUCCCCCUGCUGGUUCCCUCUUCAGCUGCUGAAUCUCUUCCAACCUGUCUGAGUCCUUUCACCUCCCUUCCUUCCGAUGGCAGUUCCCUGACAA